AGCAGCCGCGGUAAUUCCAGCUCCAAUAGCGUAUAUUAAAGUUGUUGCAGUUAAAAAGCUCGUAGUUGAAUUUCGGGAUCAAAUUGUUGGUCGUGCCUCGGUACGCACUGGUAUUAUUGGUUCCUACCUUCUGAAGAACCGCGAUGUCAUUAAUUUGGUGUCGUGGGGAAUCAGGACUGUUACUUUGAAAAAAUUGAGUGUUUAAAGCAGGCUUACGCUUGAAUACAUUAGCAUGGAAUAAUGAAAUAGGACGUUUGAUUCUAUUUUGUUGGUUUCUAGGAUUGACGUAAUGAUUAAUAGGGAUAGUUGGGGGCAUUAGUAUUCAAUUGUCAGAGGUGAAAUUCUUGGAUUUAUUGAAGACUAACUACUGCGAAAGCAUUUGCCAAGGAUGUUUUCAUUAAUCAAGAACGAAAGUUAGGGGAUCGAAGACGAUCAGAUACCGUCGUAGUCUUAACCAUAAACUAUGCCGA
rnacentral:rRNA from 1 species